rnacentral:misc_RNA from 1 species
UACGAGGGGGGCUAGUGUUGUUCGGAAUUACUGGGCGUAAAGGGAGCGUAGGUGGAAAUGCAAGUCGGGUGUUUAAUCUCGGGGCCCAACCUCGAGUUUGCGCUCGAAACUGCAUUUCUUGAAUAUGGUAGAGGUAGAUGGAAUUCCGGGUGUAGCGGUGGAAUGCGUAGAUAUCCGGAGGAACACCAGUUGCGAAGGCGAUCUACUGGACCAAUAUUGACACUGAGGCUCGAAAGCGUGGGGAGCGAACAGG